UCUCAUUCGGAUUGGAGUCUGCAACCCGACUCCAUGAAGCUGGAUUCGCUAGUAAUCGCGCAUCAGCCACGGCGCGGUGAAUACGUUCCCGGGCCUUGUACACACCGCCCGUCAAGCCAUGGAAGCCGGGAGUGCCUGAAGUGCGUGAGCGCAAGCAGCGCCCUAAGGUAAAACCGGUGACUGGGGCUAAGUCGUAACAAGGUAUC
rnacentral:rRNA from 1 species